UUGAACGCUGGCGGCAUGCUUUACACAUGCAAGUCGAACGGCAGCGGGGGCUUCGGCCUGCCGGCGAGUGGCGAACGGGUGAGUAAUAUAUCGGAACGUACCCUGGAGUGGGGGAUAACGUAGCGAAAGUUACGCUAAUACCGCAUACGAUCUAAGGAUGAAAGUGGGGGAUCGCAAGACCUCAUGCUCCUGGAGCGGCCGAUAUCUGAUUAGCUAGUUGGUGGGGUAAAGGCCUACCAAGGCAUCGAUCAGUAGCUGGUCUGAGAGGACGACCAGCCACACUGGAACUGAGACACGGUCCAGACUCCUACGGGAGGCAGCAGUGGGGAAUUUUGGACAAUGGGCGAAAGCCUGACCCAGCAAUGCCGCGUGAGUGAAGAAGGCCUUCGGGUUGUAAAGCUCUUUUGUCAGGGAAGAAACGGUGAGGGCUAAUAUCCCUUGCUAAUGACGGUACCUGAAGAAUAAGCACCGGCUAACUACGU
rnacentral:rRNA from 1 species